rnacentral:rRNA from 1 species
CCUACGGGUGGCAGCAGUGAGGAAUAUUGGUCAAUGGGCGCGAGCCUGAACCAGCCAAGUCGCGUGAGGGAGGACGGCCCUACGGGUUGUAAACCUCUUUUGCCGGGGAGCAACGGGCGUCACGUGUGGCGCCACUGAGAGUACCCGGAGAAAAAGCCUCGUCAAACUCCGUUCCAGCGGCCGCGGUCAUACGGAGGCGGCGAGCGUUAUCCGGAUUUAUUGGGUUUAAAGGGUGCGUAGGCGGAUCGUUAAGUCAGGGGUCAAAUCGCGGGGCUCAACCCCUUCCCGCCAUUGAAACUGGCGCUCUUGAGUGGAAGAGAAGUAUGCGGAAUGCGUGGUGUAGCGGUGAAAUGCAUAGAUAUCACGCAGAACUCCGAUUGCGAAGGCAGCAUGCCGGCUUCCGACUGACGCUGAAGCACGAAAGCGUGGGUAUCGAACAGGAUUAGAUACCCGGGUAGUC